rnacentral:rRNA from 1 species
GACGAACGCUGGCGGCGUGCUUAACACAUGCAAGUCGAACGGUGAAGGGACCAGCUUGCUGGUUCUGGAUGAGUGGCGAACGGGUGAGUAACACGUGAGUAACCUGCCCCCUUCUUCUGGAUAACCGCAUGAAAGUGUGGCUAAUACGGGAUAUUCUGGGUCUGUCGCAUGGCGGGCCCGGGAAAGAUAUUGCUUCGGUGGGGGAUGGGCUCGCGGCCUAUCAGCUUGUUGGUGGGGUGAUGGCCUACCAAGGCGGUGACGGGUAGCCGGCCUGAGCGGGUGGACGGUGGCACUGGGGCUGAGACACAGCCCAGACUCCUACGAGAGGCAGCAGUAGGGAAUAGUGCGCGAUGGGCGCAAACCUGAUGCAGCGACGCCGCGUGAGGGAUGGAGGCGUUCGGGGUGUAAACCUCUUUCGCCAGUGAAGCAGGCCUGCUCCUUGUGGGUGGGUUGACGGUAGCUGGAGAAGAAGCGCCGGCUAACUACGUG